GACAGAGGCCCCGAGCGUUAGUCGGAAUCACUGGGCUUAAAGGGUGCGUAGGCGGACUGAUAAGUGUCGUGUGAAAUCCCACUGCUCAACGGUGGAACUGCACGGCAAACUGUCGGUCUGGAGGAAGCUAAAGGUCGCUGGAACGCAUGGUGGAGCGGUGGAAUGCGUAGAUAUCAUGCGGAACGCCAAAGGUGAAGACAGGCGACUGGGGCUUUCCUGACGCUGAGGCACGAAAGCGUGGGGAGCAAACAGG
rnacentral:rRNA from 1 species